AGAAAAGUAAGCUAAGAUAAAAGCUAAUGGGUUCAUACCCCAUACAUAGAGUUCAACUCUCUUCUCUG
rnacentral:tRNA from 1 species